rnacentral:rRNA from 1 species
CCGGCGAUGUCCGAAUGGGGAAACCCAGUGCAAUUCGUUGCACUAUCGUUAACUGAAUACAUAGGUUAACGAGGCGAACCGGGGGAACUGAAACAUCUAAGUACCCCGAGGAAAAGAAAUCAACCGAGAUUCCCCCAGUAGCGGCGAGCGAACGGGGAGCAGCCCAGAGUCUGAAUCAGCUUGUGUGUUAGUGGAACGGUCUGGAAAGUCCGACGGUACAGGGUGAUAGUCCCGUACACCAAAAUGCACAGGUUGUGAACUCGAAGAGUAGGGCGGGACACGUGGUAUCCUGUCUGAAUAUGGGGGGACCAUCCUCCAAGGCUAAAUACUCCUGACUGACCGAUAGUGAACCAGUACCGUGAGGGAAAGGCGAAAAGAACCCCGGCGAGGGGAGUGAAAAAGAACCUGAAACCGUGUACGUACAAGCAGUGGGAGCACCUUCGGGUGUGACUGCGUACCUUUUGUAUAAUGGGUCAGCGACUUAUAUUCUGUAGCAAGGUUAACCGUAUAGGGGAGCCGCAGGGAAACCGAGUCUUAACUGGGCGUUAAGUUGCAGGGUAUAGACCCGAAACCCGGUGAUCUAGCCAUGGGCAGGUUGAAGGUUGGGUAACACUAACUGGAGGACCGAACCGACUAAUGUUGAAAAAUUAGCGGAUGACUUGUGGCUGGGGGUGAAAGGCCAAUCAAACCGGGAGAUAGCUGGUUCUCCCCGAAAGCUAUUUAGGUAGCGCCUCGUGAACUCAUCUUCGGGGGUAGAGCACUGUUUCGGCUAGGGGGUCAUCCCGACUUACCAACCCGAUGCAAACUACGAAUACCGAAGAAUGUUAUCACGGGAGACACACGGCGGGUGCUAACGUCCGUCGUGAAGAGGGAAACAACCCAGACCGCCAGCUAAGGUCCCAAAGUCAUGGUUAAGUGGGAAACGAUGUGGGAAGGCACAGACAGCCAGGAUGUUGGCUUAGAAGCAGCCAUCAUUUAAAGAAAGCGUAAUAGCUCACUGGUCGAGUCGGCCUGCGCGGAAGAUGUAACGGGGCUAAACCAUGCACCGAAGCUGCGGCAGCGACACUAUGUGUUGUUGGGUAGGGGAGCGUUCUGUAAGCCUGCGAAGGUGGCCUGUGAGGGUUGCUGGAGGUAUCAGAAGUGCGAAUGCUGACAUAAGUAACGAUAAAGCGGGUGAAAAGCCCGCUCGCCGGAAGACCAAGGGUUCCUGUCCAACGUUAAUCGGGGCAGGGUGAGUCGACCCCUAAGGCGAGGCCGAAAGGCGUAGUCGAUGGGAAACAGGUUAAUAUUCCUGUACUUGGUGUUACUGCGAAGGGGGGACGGAGAAGGCUAUGUUAGCCGGGCGACGGUUGUCCCGGUUUAAGCAUGUAGGCGGAGGUUCCAGGUAAAUCCGGUACCUUUUAACGCUGAGGUGUGAUGACGAGGCACUACGGUGCUGAAGUAACAAAUGCCCUGCUUCCAGGAAAAGCCUCUAAGCAUCAGGUAACAUUAAAUCGUACCCCAAACCGACACAGGUGGUCAGGUAGAGAAUACCAAGGCGCUUGAGAGAACUCGGGUGAAGGAACUAGGCAAAAUGGUGCCGUAACUUCGGGAGAAGGCACGCUGGUGUGUAGGUGAAGUCCCUGCGGACGGAGCUGAGACCAGUCGAAGAUACCAGCUGGCUGCAACUGUUUAUUAAAAACACAGCACUGUGCAAACACGAAAGUGGACGUAUACGGUGUGACGCCUGCCCGGUGCCGGAAGGUUAAUUGAUGGGGUUAUCCGUAAGGAGAAGCUCUUGAUCGAAGCCCCGGUAAACGGCGGCCGUAACUAUAACGGUCCUAAGGUAGCGAAAUUCCUUGUCGGGUAAGUUCCGACCUGCACGAAUGGCGUAAUGAUGGCCAGGCUGUCUCCACCCGAGACUCAGUGAAAUUGAACUCGCUGUGAAGAUGCAGUGUACCCGCGGCAAGACGGAAAGACCCCGUGAACCUUUACUAUAGCUUGACACUGAACAUUGAGCCUUGAUGUGUAGGAUAGGUGGGAGGCUUUGAAGCGUGGACGCCAGUCUGCGUGGAGCCAACCUUGAAAUACCACCCUUUAAUGUUUGAUGUUCUAACGU